rnacentral:tRNA from 1 species
GGGCGGUUAACUCAGCGGGAGAGUGCCACCUUCACACGGUGGAAGCCACUGGUUCGAGCCCAGUACCGCCCACCA